GUGCCAGCCGCCGCGGUAAUACGUAGGGUGCGAGCGUUAAUCGGAAUUACUGGGCGUAAAGCGUGCGCAGGCGGUUCGUUGUGUCCGAUGUGAAAGCCCCGAGCUCAACUUGGGAACGGCAUUGGAAACUGGCGGGCUGGAGUGUGGCAGAGGGGGGUGGAAUUCCACGUGUAGCAGUGAAAUGCGUAGAGAUGUGGAGGAACACCGAUGGCGAAGGCAGCCCCCUGGGCCAACACUGACGCUCAGGCACGAAAGCGUGGGGAGCAAACAGGAUUAGAAACCCGCGUAGUCC
rnacentral:rRNA from 1 species